GGAGAGGUGGCCGAGCGGUCUAAGGCGCACGCCUGGAGAGCGUGUGAUGGGCAAAACCCAUCCGUGGGUUCAAAUCCCACCCUCUCCGCCA
rnacentral:tRNA from 1 species